UCCAAUCAAUAUGCCACCCUAAACAAGCCCGAUCCCAUUUGAUUUUGGAAGCUAAGUAGGGUCGGGCCUGGUUAGGACUUGGAUGGGAGACCCCCUAGGAAGACCAGGUGCUGUAGGCA
ensembl:rRNA 5S_rRNA 5S ribosomal RNA